rnacentral:lncRNA from 1 species
CAGCAUCCACCACCUUGGGGAAUGGCUCAGCCCUUCCAGUCCUGGAAAGCCAGUCCCUGUAUGUGGUCUGUGCUGUUGACAGCAAUCCCCCUGCCAGGCUGAGCUGGACCUGGGGGAGCCCAACCCUGAGCCUCUCACAGCCCUUGAAUCCUGGGCUGCUGGAACUGCCUCAAGUGUAUCUGAGGGACGAAGGGGAAUUCACCUGCAGAGCUCAGAACCCUCCAGGAGUGAUGCUGCAGGCGGUCAAGGGGGGCUGGAGCCCCAGCCUGGUCUUCCUGUCCUUUUGUGUCAUCUUCAUCGUGUG